GGAACCCCCUCAAGCCGCUGCUCAUGGUGUUAUUGAGAAGGACGUAUUUCCUGCCUCUCUUUGUAGCCAGGUGGGCCAGGACGGUCCUCGCACUCCUGAAACUCCAGGCUGCACUCUAACUCACAGAGAUCCCCCUGCUUCCGCCUUCUGAGUGCUGGGAGUACAGAAGACCCAGGUUCGAGUCCCAGCACCUACAUGGCCUCUUCUAGUUCCUCUCCUGACCAGGCACCAGGCACCCACACGGUGCACAGACACAUGUGUAGGUAAACACUGAC